AUGGAAACACUACAACAUCACUAUCCAGGCCAGAAUUAUGGAAAAGAUGAAUCAGAUUCUUCAGAUGAUCUGUCAUCUUUGUAUCACUCUGAGAGAGGGGAAGUGGGUGCUCUGAGUGUGAGUUUCAGUGAUGACCCAAAGGUGCAAAUACUGAUGAAAAAGAAGAGCCACAUCACCGUGAGCUUGGCAGGCAGGGAGCACCAACCCUCACCUGGAAGUCUGCUGCCAUCCAGAGCAGUCUGGGACAGAGGGACAUCAAUGAGCCAAGAGGGAUGCCAAAAAUUGGUGAGAAGGAUUUGUAAGGAACUGCCUCCUUGAAAAGUCUUGGUUCUGCUGAAACCAAAUUACAUGGCAAACAUUCAACUUGGUUUCACCUGAAUUUUCUUUUGAAAGAAAGAAAGGAAAAAAAUGUCAAAAUAAUCGAUUUUAACAUUAAUGUGGGUUCAUUUUUCAUGUGAAAUUAUUUUUUGCUUUUGUAUUACAUUUUCUCUAAUAAAGUUAUUUAUUACAGCA
rnacentral:lncRNA from 1 species